rnacentral:rRNA from 1 species
GAUGAACGCUGGCGGCGUGCCUAAUACAUGCAAGUCGAGCGAACAGACGAGGAGCUUGCUCCUCUGACGUUAGCGGCGGACGGGUGAGUAACACGUGGAUAACCUACCUAUAAGACUGGGAUAACUUCGGGAAACCGGAGCUAAUACCGGAUAACAUGUUGAACCGCAUGGUUUAACAGUGAAAGACGGUCUUGCUGUCACUUAUAGAUGGAUCCGCGCCGCAUUAGCUAGUUGGUAAGGUAACGGCUUACCAAGGCAACGAUGCGUAGCCGACCUGAGAGGGGGAACGGCCACACUGGAACUGAGACACGGUCCAGACUCCUACGGGAGGCAGCAGUAGGGAAUCUUCCGCAAUGGGCGAAAGCCUGACGGAGCAACGCCGCGUGAGUGAAGAAGGUCUUCGGAUCGUAAAACUCUGUUAUUAGGGAAGAACAAAUGUGUAAGUAACUAUGCACGUCUUGACGGUACCUAAUCAGAAAGCCACGGCUAACUACGUG